rnacentral:rRNA from 1 species
CGAACGGGUGAGUAACGCGUGAGGAACCUGCCUCAAAGAGGGGGACAACAGUUGGAAACGACUGCUAAUACCGCAUAAGCCCACGGGUCGGCAUCGACCUGAGGGAAAAGGAGCAAUCCGCUUUGAGAUGGCCUCGCGUCCGAUUAGCUAGUUGGUGAGGUAAUGGCCCACCAAGGCGACGAUCGGUAGCCGGACUGAGAGGUUGAACGGCCACAUUGGGACUGAGACGCGGCCCAG